AUGAACGCUAGCUACAGGCUUAACACAUGCAAGUCGAGGGGCAGCAUUUUAGUUUGCUUGCAAACUGAAGAUGGCGACCGGCGCACGGGUGAGUAACACGUAUCCAACCUGCCGAUAACUCCGGAAUAGCCUUUCGAAAGAAAGAUUAAUACCGGAUGGCAUACGAAUAUCGCAUGAUAUUUUUAUUAAAGAAUUUCGGUUAUCGAUGGGGAUGCGUUCCAUUAGUUUGUUGGCGGGGUAACGGCCCACCAAGACAACGAUGGAUAGGGGUUCUGAGAGGAAGGUCCCCCACAUUGGAACUGAGACACGGUCCAAACUCCUACGGGAGGCAGCAGUGAGGAAUAUUGGUCAAUGGGCGAGAGCCUGAACCAGCCAAGUAGCGUGAAGGAUGAAGGCUCUAUGGGUCGUAAACUUCUUUUAUAUGGGAAUAAAGUAUUCCACGUGUGGAAUUUUGUAUGUACCAUAUGAAUAAGGAUCGGCUAACUCCGUGCCAGCAGCCGCGGUAAUACGGAGGAUCCGAGCGUUAUCCGGAUUUAUUGGGUUUAAAGGGAGCGUAGGUGGAUUGUUAAGUCAGUUGUGAAAGUUUGCGGCUCAACCGUAAAAUUGCAGUUGAAACUGGCAGUCUUGAGUACAGUAGAGGUGGGCGGAAUUCGUGGUGUAGCGGUGAAAUGCUUAGAUAUCACGAAGAACUCCGAUUGCGAAGGCAGCUCACUAGACUGUCACUGACACUGAUGCUCGAAAGUGUGGGUAUCAAACAGGAUUAGAUACCCUGGUAGUCCACACAGUAAACGAUGAAUACUCGCUGUUUGCGAUAUACAGUAAGCGGCCAAGCGAAAGCAUUAAGUAUUCCACCUGGGGAGUACGCCGGCAACGGUGAAACUCAAAGGAAUUGACGGGGGCCCGCACAAGCAGUGGAGUAUGUGGUUUAAUUCGAAGCAACGCGAAGAACCUUACCAGGGCUUGACAUCCAACUAACGAAGCAGAGAUGCAUUAGGUGCCCUUCGGGGAAAGUCGAGACAGGUGGUGCAUGGUUGUCGUCAGCUCGUGUCGUGAGAUGUUGGGUUAAGUCCCGCAACGAGCGCAACCCUUAUCUUUAGUUACUAACAGGUCAUGCUGAGGACUCUAGAGAGACUGCCGUCGUAAGAUGUGAGGAAGGUGGGGAUGACGUCAAAUCAGCACGGCCCUUACGUCCGGGGCUACACACGUGUUACAAUGGGGGGUACAGAAGGCGGCUACCUGGUGACAGGAUGCUAAUCCCAAAAACCUCUCUCAGUUCGGAUCGAAGUCUGCAACCCGACUUCGUGAAGCUGGAUUCGCUAGUAAUCGCGCAUCAGCCAUGGCGCGGUGAAUACGUUCCCGGGCCUUGUACACACCGCCCGUCAAGCCAUGAAAGCCGGGGGUACCUGAAGUACGUAACCGCAAGGAGCGUCCUAGGGUAAAACUGGUAAUUGGGGCU
rnacentral:rRNA from 1 species